rnacentral:rRNA from 1 species
GAUGAACGCUGGCGGCGUGCUUAACACAUGCAAGUCGAACGAAGCACUUUAACCUGAUUCUUCGGAUGAAGGUUUUUGUGACUGAGUGGCGGACGGGUGAGUAACGCGUGGGUAACCUGCCUCAUACAGGGGGAUAACAGUUAGAAAUGACUGCUAAUACCGCAUAAGACCACAGAGCCGCAUGGCUCGGUGGGAAAAACUCCGGUGGUAUGAGAUGGACCCGCGUCUGAUUAGGUAGUUGGUGGGGUAACGGCCUACCAAGCCAACGAUCAGUAGCCGACCUGAGAGGGUGGCCGGCCACAUUGGGACUGAGACACGGCCCAAACUCCUACGGGAGGCAGCAGUGGGGAAUAUUGCACAAUGGGGGAAACCCUGAUGCAGCGACGCCGCGUGAGCGAAGAAGUAUUUCGGUAUGUAAAGCUCUAUCAGCAGGGAAGAAAAUGACGGUACCUGACUAAGAAGCACCGGCUAAAUACGU